rnacentral:lncRNA from 1 species
AGUCCGGCGAGGUCGCUGGUCCGGGCAGAAUCCAGGGCGAUGGAAUGGUCUGGGCUGUGUCUCCCACAUGAAGGGGACGCCCGGACUUGAAGAGCCAAUGUAGGGCGAGGCUCCUGCCAAGGGCCGGGGAGGGAGAUGAAGAAGAGCAGGCGCCAGCCUUGGAGCCGUAGCGCUAACCGUGAGAGGGAAGCCUAAGGAGCGCGCGACCUGAGGCGGUGGCAGCACCCUCCCGCCCCCGGAGUGCGAGCCGGGAAGUGAACUCCCUGAAUUCCAUUAGUUUCCCACUGUCACACGUGGGAUGGGCGCCCGCAUCCCUCACCUCACCCAAUCCUAGAAUACAAAGCUAAAAGCAAAAGGUUCUCUAGAAUAGCUACUGUCCCUGGCGAGCUAACUCUGCAUAGGUCAUAGUGCUACGCUUUGCCCUGAUUAGCCCAAGACAGCUGUGAACCCAAUAGCAAUGCCCCAUGUUCUCUCCCCAUUCGGCUCGAGGCUAUUUCUUUUUUCGAAAGCAACUCUAGCUAUUACAUAAUGGUCCCUCAAAAAGGUGUUUCACAAGCCACUUCCCUGAAGCCGAGGCCCCUCACCUGUAAAAUCCUGAGGACUGUCCUCGGGUUUGGUCUCAAAUGUUGCUGGCUUUACUGUGGUUCUGACACUAGCAUUAGGCAGUAAGGUAAAAGAGAACUACCUUCUGUUUUCUGGAAUCUAGUUCCUUCUCUGACAUGGCAUAUAUUAUAAGUUCUAGUUUAUUCUUGUUAACAGCGUCAAUCCAGCAUUUAUUGCAACACACUUGAGAGUUCUUUAUAACGACUUUAUAUUUUUAAAACAGACCUGGCCUGGCGUGGUGGUUCACACCUGUAAUCCCAGCACUUUGGGAGGCCAAGGCAGGCGGAUCACGAGGUCAGGUGCUCAAGACCAGCCUGGCCAACAUAGUGAAACUCCCUCUACUAAAAAUACAAAAAUUAGUCGGGCAUGGUCGGGGGAGCCUGUAAUCCCAGCUACUCGGGAGGCUGAGGCAGGAGAAUUGCUUCAACCCGGGAGGCAGA